CGGACGGGUGAGUAACGCGUGAGAAUCUAGCUUUAGGUCGGGGACAACCACUGGAAACGGUGGCUAAUACCGGAUGUGCCGGAAGGUGAAAGAUUUAUUGCCUAGAGAUGAGCUCGCGUCUGAUUAGCUAGUAGGUGUGGUAAGAGCGCACCUAGGCGACGAUCAGUAGCUGGUCUGAGAGGAGGAUCAGCCACACUGGGACUGAGACACGGCCCAGACUCCUACGGGAGGCAGCAGUGGGGAUUUUUCCGCAAUGGGCGAAAGCCUGACGGAGCAAUACCGCGUGAGGGAGGAAGGCUCUUGGGUUGUAAACCUCUUUUCUCAGGGAAGAAAAAAAUGACGGUACAUGAGGAAUAAGCAUCGGCUAACUCCGUGCCAGCAGCCGCGGUAAUACGGAGGAUGCAAGCGUUAUCCGGAAUGAUUGGGCGUAAAGCGUCCGCAGGUGGCAAUGAAAGUUUUCUGUUAAAGAGUGAGGCUCAACCUUAUAAAAGCAGUGGAAACUACAUAGCUAGGGUGCGUUCGGGGCAGCGGAAUUCCUGGUGUAGCGGUUCCGCCUUAGAUCAGGAAGAACACCGGUUCGAAACCUCUCUUAUAGCGCAACUGACACUGA
rnacentral:rRNA from 1 species